rnacentral:rRNA from 1 species
UACAGAGGUCUCAAGCGUUUGUUCGGAUUCAUUGGGCGUAAAGGGUGCGUAGGCGGCGCGGUAAGUCGGGUGUGAAAUCUCGGAGCUUAACUCCGAAACUGCAUUCGAUACUGCCGUGCUUGAGGACUGGAGAGGAGACUGGAAUUUACGGUGUAGCAGUGAAAUGCGUAGAGAUCGUAAGGAAGACCAGUGGCGAAGGCGGGUCUCGUGGACAGUUCCUGACACUGAGGCACGAAGGCCAGGGGAGCAAACGGG